UGUUGCCUACGGGAGGCAGCAGUGGGGAAUAUUGGACAAUGGGGGGAACCCUGAUCCAGCGACGCCGCGUGAGUGAAGAAGUAUUUCGGUAUGUAAAGCUCUAUCAGCAGGGAAGAAAGAAAUGACGGUACCUGACUAAGAAGCCCCGGCUAACUACGUGCCAGCAGCCGCGGUAAUACGUAGGGGGCAAGCGUUAUCCGGAUUUACUGGGUGUAAAGGGAGCGUAGACGGCAUAGCAAGUCUGAAGUGAAAGCCCGUGGCUCAACCGCGGAACUGCUUUGGGAACUGUUAGGCUGGAGUACUGG
rnacentral:rRNA from 1 species